AUUGAACGCUGGCGGCAUGCCUUACACAUGCAAGUCGGACGGCAGCAUGAUCUAGCUUGCUAGAUUGAUGGCGAGUGGCGAACGGGUGAGUAAUACAUCGGAACGUGCCCUGUAGUGGGGGAUAACUAGUCGAAAGAUUAGCUAAUACCGCAUACGACCUGAGGGUGAAAGUGGGGGACCGCAAGGCCUCAUGCUAUAGGAGCGGCCGAUGUCUGAUUAGCUAGUUGGUGAGGUAAAGGCUCACCAAGGAGACGAUCAGUAGCUGGUCUGAGAGGACGAUCAGCCACACUGGGACUGAGACACGGCCCAGACUCAUACGGGAGGCAGCAGUGGGGAAUUUUGGAAAAUGGGCGAAAGCCUGAUCCAGCAAUGCCGCGUGUGUGAAGAAGGCCUUCGGGUUGUAAAGCACUUUUGUCCGGAAAGAAAUGGCUCUGGUUAAUACCUGGGGUCGAUGACGGUACCGGAAGAAUAAGGACCGGCGAACGACG
rnacentral:rRNA from 1 species